GAAACCAUCGCUCAGUUGAUAAAGCCUGAGACUCUUCAUGUCAGGGUUGUGGGUUCAAGCCCCACACUGGGCAAAAGAGAUUCC